rnacentral:tRNA from 3 species
GCCCCCGUAUCCCAACGGCAGAGGAAGGCGCCUUAAAAGCGCCGCAGUGUGGGUUCGAGUCCCACCGGGGGCA